rnacentral:rRNA from 1 species
GACGAACCGUGCGAACGUUGUUCGGAAUCACUGGGCUUAAAGGGCGCGUAGGCGGGCUGUCCAGUCUGGGGUGAAAUCCCGCGGCUCAACCGUGGAACUGCCUUAGAUACUGACGGCCUCGAGGGAGGUAGGGGCAUGCGGAACUGUGAGUGGAGCGGUGAAAUGCGUUGAUAUGCACAGGAACUCCGGUGGCGAAGGCGGCGUGCUGGACCUCUUCUGACGCUGAGGCGCGAAAGCUAGGGGAGCAAACGGG